rnacentral:rRNA from 1 species
GUUUGAUUCUGGCGUCAGGAUGAAUGCUGGCGGCGUGCCUAAUACAUGCAAGUCGAGCGGCAGCGAGGGUUCACCCUGUUCUCAAUGAUUGAGGGUAGAGUGAAACCUGUCGGCGAGCGGCGGACGGCUGAGUAACGCAUGGGAACGCACCCCAAACUGAGGGAUAACCAGUCGAAAGAUUGGCUAAUACCGCAUGUGGUCUUCGGAUUAAAGCCUUCGGGCGGUUUGGGAGCGGCCUGUGUACGAUUAGAUAGUUGGUGAGGUAAUGGCUCACCAAGUCGACGAUCGUUAGAUGGUUUGAGAGGAUGAUCAUCCAGACUGGGACUGAGACACGGCCCAGACUCCUACGGGAGGCAGCAGUAGGGAAUCUUUCACAAUGGGCGAAAGCCUGAUUGGAGCAACGCCGCGUGCAGGAUGAAGGCCUUCGGGUUGUAAACUGCUUUUAUAAGCGAGAAAUAUGAUGGUAACUUAUGAAUAAGGAUCGGCUAACUACGUGCCAGCCGCGGC